UAAAAGUAGCCUACCCCAAGGUCUGACAUUUUAAACAACUCGCUGAGAAUGAAAACAGAAUUGUACAUCUGUGUUCUGUGUGCCUGUUUGGUAACACUCGAAGCACACAAGAGAUCAGCCAGGAAUGGGAAUACUGCGAAUGACUUCACAUUUUUAUCACACAAACCAAAUGAGACGCAAGGUCCUGUAGUGCAAGGUCCUUCAAGCAAUGUCCUUGUUAAUGGAAGUAAAUACGAGGAGAUGACCAACCAUACAUUUUUAAAUGAAACCAAAAGUACUUUGGAGAGGAUCAUUUUGUCGAACCGUGCAGAGAAUGAAUGGCAAAAAAACGACACACUAUUGGUAGCUCAAGAUACUUAAGUGAUAACAGGCAAGUGACGUCAACUGGAAAACAGCUCGUUUAACAGUCAACCCUAAUGAAAUGACACUAUAAUAUUUUCGUGAACUACCAUUGUAGUAUAUCACAAAUGGAACAAUACAUGAAUAAAAUUAACUGCAAUUUAUGACCUCACAGGUGUAAGCGCUGAAUUGUUUUUUACAAAUAAAAGAAAGAAUAAAUGUAAACAAUCUUGUCUCACAGGUAAAUGUACUCGUGUAAAUGGACAAGAAAAAAAAAUAUUUUAAUUUAUCGCCGUAAAGACAAUACUUCAAUGCUGCUCUAUGCAAUACUAGCCCUCAUGUUGAAUGAUAAAACAAAUGAUUCAGUGUAUGUAUUACAUUAUGUAGGCCUAUGCUUAUUAAACAUGUAAUUUUCAUUAUAAUUAAACUGUCCAUUGGGUUAGUUAUUCCAUGAUUAAAACUGAACAUGACAUUAAACUCUAAUUUUAAUAUCAAACUUUGAUAAUCUACUGAUUGUUUACAGCUAACAAGACUACCAAACUACCAAUGUUAAAUGCCAAGAGAAUCUGAUUUAUAAUCUCUCAGUUAGAGAUUUAAACGAUAAGACUAGAUGUUAUUAGAGAAAUAUCAAAACAAAGACUGUUAUAAAUAAAGUUGCUUCUCAUAUU